AACGAACGCUGGCGGCAUGCCUAACACAUGCAAGUCGAACGAGACCUUCGGGUCUGUUGGCGCACGGGUGCUUAACGCGUGGGAACCUGCCCUUAGGUUCGGAAUACCUCCCCGAAAGGGGUGCUAAUACCGGAUAAUGUCUUCGGACCAAAGAUUUAUCGCCUUUGGAUGGGCCCGCGUUGGAUUAGCUAGUUGGUAGGGUAAAAGCCUACCAAGGCGACGAUCCAUAGCUGGUCUGAGAGGAUGAUCAGCCACACUGGGACUGAGACACGGCCCAGACUCCUACGGGAGGCAGCAGUGGGGAAUAUUGGACAAUGGGCGAAAGCCUGAUCCAGCAAUGCCGCGUGAGUGAUGAAGGCCUUAGGGUUGUAAAGCUCUUUUACCCGGGAUGAUAAUGACAGUACCGGGAGAAUAAGCUCCGGCUAACUCCGUG
rnacentral:rRNA from 1 species